rnacentral:tRNA from 1 species
GCCCGCUUAGUAUAGUGGUUAGUACCCCACGUUGUGGCCGUGGAAACGGGUGUUCGAAUCCCCCGGUGGGCA